CGCAUUCAAAUGAAACAUUUCUCAAGAUUUAUACCGCAAAUCACUUACGUUAGUUAGUCUUAUUUUGAGCAUUGUUCAUGCAACAUGGCGAAAGUUUUAAUUUUAGUGAUAUCCAUCACUCUACUGCUACAAGCAGUGGCAGCAUUUUUCUGCGAUGGAAUUCCGGGUGGAUUAAAGCUCCGUUUCCCGAUCGCAGGCAUUUGUGAUGAAUACAUAGCAUGCCAUCACAAUAUGGAACACGAGUGGAAGUGUCCUCGAGGUCGCUUCUUCAGCCAACGGCAACAAAAAUGUGUCGAUGCGUGCGAUCCAUCCGAAGCGUUGAAUUUGUGUGCUGGUUUGAUCAAUGGGAUAUUGUUGCGGCCUCCAUUGACGGAAUUUCCAUUUAGCUGUAGGCGCCACUACGAGUGUGUGAGCGGAAUGACGAU